GCUUUUUUUUUUUGGUUUGUUUGCUUGCUCUCUCCUCUCGGGGCAUUUUCGGGACCCGUUUCUGGCAACGAAGUGUACAGUUGACGACAGCGUUUCGCGCGCUCUCUCUCUCUCUUUCUCUCUUUCGCUCAUUAGAUACUCUCACAAUUUAAAAGGGAAACCAAACCUAUUUCGAACGGGUUAACAAACAAACGAAAAAAAAAACCCGAUGGCAACUCAUCGGGAAAACCCGCCGCGAUCGCCGCACUGUCGUCAUUCCGUUCGCUCUGCCUUUUGGGGGAGGAAAUGGGAGUAAAAAUUGGGAAAAGUAACACUCACACACACACACAGAGCAACACAGCACCUUAACGAGUGCGUCCAGCUCGGUGCUGCUGCCAUUCAUUCGAACUCCACGAACACAAGCCAAGUGUGCGUCUUCUGGACGGUUCUAUUGCUUGCUCCAUCACCUGGGCUGUGUGAGUGUGUCUGCUGAGUGAUGGAAAAAUUUUCCACCCGAACGACCGUUUUGUGUUUCUCCCGAGCGAUGGUGGUGGUGGUGGUGGUGGUGUUUUUCGUUUUCUUUGUUACUCUGCGCCCGUUCUCCUGUCCGUGCAGUCGCUCACACUCGCUUGUCUCUCUCGCUCGCACACACACACACACACACUCACGCAAUCUUUAUCUCCCUUUCGCUCGCUCGCUCUCUCUCUCUCUCUCUUUUUCUAACGCGUCACGGAAUCGGUAACGGUAUAACCAUAAACGCUACAGCGCGCGCCGUCCGAGUGAGUUCGAGCCGUUUUGGCGCUGGUGAGCGCACGGCCACUCAGCCCGCUCGCCACUGAGUGACCCAGCCCGUGUGCCGCGUGUGCGCGCUUGUUCUGCUUGCGCGAGCCCGUACGCGAGCCGUUGCGUUUUAGCUUCCCGCUUUAGUUGCGUUUCGAGUGUUGUGCCCGUAGCGUGUACCUUUUCGGUGCGUCGUCGCCGCUGUUGCGUCUUACCCAAGCGAGAGUGUGUGUGUUUAGCGAAAUAGAAGUGCCCCCGGGCAAAAAAAAAAGGAAGCAAAACGUGUCCUGGAGGUGUUCGUCCGUUCGCACACGAUUAUCAUUUUUUGAGUGCAUGCUCGCGUGUGCGUGUGUUUCAACUUCAACUGGCGCUUUUGACAGGAGUGCAAAAAAAAAAGAUCUCAAGCGGAAAAGUUAAUGAUACAAACAAACAAUACGACAGCAACAAACAAAAUUAAACUAUCCGUGUGCCCCUUUGUUUGGUGCGUGUGUGUGCGUGUGCGUACGGUGUCAUCGAGAUAACCCAGAGUGUGUGUGUGAUUAGUGUGUGAGUGCUGGCUCCUAACGCGGGAAGCACCUGACGCAGUGUGUGUGUGUGUUUUUGUUGCGUUUACGGGGGAGUUUUUCCUUCCUUUCUUUCUUUCUGCCGUCCUCGCCACUUCGGUCUCUGCACGUGUUGUGUGUUUACAGCUGAUAAGCACCGGGGCAGUGUGACCCACACGCACGUUUUUGUCAGGAAGUGUGUGUGUGUGUGUGUGUGUGUGUGGUUGUGUAUGUGGCAAAAGGAAAGGCAGACAAAAAAGGAAGCAAAAAACACGCACACAGCACCGCCGAAGAGUGGGAAAAACUGCAAGCAAGCAACCAAGUGCGGCCAGCGUUCAAGGUCAAGAAAAACGCAGACCUGGUGUGUGUGUGUGUGUGUGUGCGCGUAAUACCCUCAUACCUCCGCUUCGCGCCACAUCCACUUUCGGGGCAGAAUAAAUGUUAAUUUUUGGAGCCCAGUAUUUCAGUAUGAGGUGUGUUUGCGUAUGUGUCUAGUGAAGGAGUGAGCGGGUUUUGUUGUUGUUGUUGUUGUUGUUAGCAUCUAGCACCCAACUU